rnacentral:rRNA from 1 species
AUGGUGACCGUCACCUGUUUGAUGGAGUGCUCGACCCAGGUUGACACAACCGACAGCGUCGACGAGGUCCAUGACGCCGCUACCGCCGUCCACCUCGAGCCCACGGUCGACCCGAUCCACCAAGCAGAUGAGCAGCUCACUCCGGUGCAGGCAACGGCCUCCAUCAGCACCAACACUCCCUCUUGUGCCGAGGCCGUUUCUUCCGUGACGAGCAAGGCGGACCACAACGUCGCCCUCAUCAUCCGCAGCGACCCUGCUCCGCCGGUGCUGACCAUGUGUUCGACAGAUGGUCUACUCCAAGAUGGCGAAUGGCUAAAGCUUGUUCAUCUUGUGGACAUGAGCAAAACCUUGUGCCUGCCUCCGAUACAGUAG